rnacentral:lncRNA from 1 species
AGUUGAUGAUUCAGUUCCUAUGUCUCCUGCCUUCUUUUCAUCUUAGACUAGCUCAGAUUUUGGACUAAGACCCAGUAGCUUCUGAGAAGAAUGAAGUCACCCCUUUUGGACUCCAGAAUAUAGUGAAACUAUUCUGCUUCUUUCGCUGGAGGGAGGUCGGAGAGAAGAGGCCAAAUGAUGAAAGACAAGUCCCCCACAUCUUCGAGGAGAGCUGUGUGGGAAGAACACAAGAAGCCUUUCUGCUGUAAUGCAGAUGAGUGGCAGUUAAUGAGUAGCACUGUUGAAAAUAAUUCGCAAACACAUUUGAAAAAGUUUGAAUGCCUGCCUCUGCCAAGGGACAACAUGAAACUAAUUGCAAUUCACUGUCUCUGCAAGACAUGAAAAUGAUCGUCUCCUCACUCUUGCUUUGAAAGGUUAGAAAUUCAUUCCCCCACAUUCAGAACUUGGACUUGAACUCCUGGUGAACAGCUAGUGCCUUACAGAGAAAGGACAACAGCUGCUAUUGCCUGAAAGCCUACUGUUCCCAAUACAUCAGAACAGCAGUACCAAAUUAAAGUUUGAAGAGCGCUGAAAUCUUUUAUGCACAUACACAAGCUACU